GGGCCCAUAGCUCAGCGGUAGAGCGGACGGCUCAUAACCGUUUGGUCCCUGGUUCGAAUCCGGGUGGGCCCA
rnacentral:tRNA from 1 species